rnacentral:rRNA from 1 species
AAUCAACGCUGGCGGCGUGCCUCAGACAUGCAAGUCGAACGCGAAAGUCCCCUUCGGGGGACAAGUAGAGUGGCGCACGGGUGAGUAACACGUAGGUAAUCUACCUUCGGAUGGGGAAGUAACAACCGGAAACGGUUGCUAAUACCGCAUAAUGCAGCGGCACCUAAUGGUGACAGUUGUUAAAGCGGGGGAGUCGAAAGACCUCGCGUCUGAAGAGGAGCCUGCGGCGGAUUAGCUAGUUGGUAAGGUAACGGCUUACCAAGGCGACGAUCCGUAGCCGGCCUGAGAGGGCGGUCGGCCACACUGACACUGACAUACGGGUCAGACUCCUACGGGAGGCAGCAGUCGGGAAUUUUGGGCAAUGGGCGAAAGCCUGACCCAGCAACGCCGCGUGAAGGAUGAAAUCCCUCGGGAUGUAAACUUCGCAAGAACGGGAAGAGUAAGUAGGGACAAUACCCCCUAUGAUGACGGUACCGUUUGUAAGCUCCGGCUAACUCCGUGCCAGCAGCCGCCGCGGU